AGUGAACGCUGGCGGUAGGCCUAACACAUGCAAGUCGAACGGCAGCACAGUAAGAGCUUGCUCUUACGGGUGGCGAGUGGCGGACGGGUGAGGAAUACAUCGGAAUCUACUUUUUCGUGGGGGAUAACGUAGGGAAACUUACGCUAAUACCGCAUACGACCUACGGGUGAAAGCAGGGGAUCUUCGGACCUUGCGCGAUUGAAUGAGCCGAUGUCGGAUUAGCUAGUUGGCGGGGUAAAGGCCCACCAAGGCGACGAUCCGUAGCUGGUCUGAGAGGAUGAUCAGCCACACUGGAACUGAGACACGGUCCAGACUCCUACGGGAGGCAGCAGUGGGGAAUAUUGGACAAUGGGCGCAAGCCUGAUCCAGCCAUACCGCGUGGGUGAAGAGGGCCUUCGGGUUGUAAAGCCCUUUUGUUGGGAAAGAAAAGCAGCAGGUUAAUACCCCGCUGUUCUGACGGUACCCAAAGAAUAAGCACCGGCGAACUUCGU
rnacentral:rRNA from 1 species